UGGCUCACACCUGUAAUCCCAGCACUUGGGGAAGCUGAAGUGGGAGGAUUGCUUGAGUCCAGGAGUUCAAGACGAAGCUGUGCCAUGAUUGCGCCACUGCACUCCAGUCUGGGCGACAGAGCCAGACCUCGUCUCAAAAAAAAAAAAAAAAAAAAAAAGAGGAAAAAAAGGAGUUUGAUUUUGAGACCAUGUCUCACUCUGUCACCCAGGCUGACAUGCAAUGGCACCAUCUUGGCUCACUGCAACCUCCGCCUCCCAGGUUCAAGUGAUUCUCCUGCCUCAGCCUCCCAAGUGGCUGGGAUUACAGGCACUCACCACCAUACCCGGCUAAUUUUUGUAUUUUUAGUAGAGUCACCCUGUUGGUCAGCUAUUGUGAGCAGUGCU
rnacentral:lncRNA from 10 species